UACGGUAGGGUCCGAGCGUUGUCCGGAAUUAUUGGGCGUAAAGGGCUCGUAGGCGGUUCGUCACGUCGGGAGUGAAAACUCGGGGCUUAACCCCGAGCCUGCUUCCGAUACGGGCAGACUAGAGGUAGGCAGGGGAGAGCGGAACUCCUGGUGUAGCGGUGGAAUGCGCAGAUAUCAGGAAGAACACCGGUGGCGAAGGCGGGUCUCUGGGCCGAUACUGACGCUGAGGAGCGAAAGCGUGGGGAGCGAACAGG
rnacentral:rRNA from 1 species